UACAGAGGUCUCAAGCGUUGUUCGGAUUCAUUGGGCGUAAAGGGUGCGUAGGUGGCGCCGUAAGUCGGGUGUGAAAAUUUCGAGGCUUAACCUCGAAACUGCAUUCGAUACUGCGGUGCUUGAGGACUUGGAGAGGAGACGUGGAAAUUCAUGGUGUAGCAGUGUAAAUGCGUAGAGAUCAUGAGGAAGACCAGUGGCGAAGGCGGGUCUCUGGACA
rnacentral:rRNA from 1 species